rnacentral:tRNA from 1 species
GGCAUUGGUAGAAGCCAGCCCUGAAAAGGCUGGCGUCGGCGGUUCGAUUCCGUCCCUGGCCC